UACAGAGGGGGCAAGCGUUGUUCGGAAUUACUGGGCGUAAAGGGCGCGUAGGCGGCCUGUUAAGUCGAACGUGAAAUCCCCGGGCUCAACCCGGGAACUGCGUCCGAUACUGGCAGGCUUGAAUCCGGGAGAGGGAUGUGGAAUUCCAGGUGUAGCGGUGAAAUGCGUAGAUAUCUGGAGGAACACCGGUGGCGAAGGCGGCAUCCUGGACCGGUAUUGACGCUGAUGAGCGAAAGCUAGGGGAGCAAACGGG
rnacentral:rRNA from 1 species